CGCUUAGACAACUAGGAGGUUGGCUUAGAAGCAGCCAUCCUUUAAAGAGUGCGUAACAGCCCACUAGUCGAGUGACUCUGCGCCGAAAAUGUACCGGGGCUAAACAUGGUACCGAAACUGCGGAUUCGUAAGAAUGGUAGGUGAGCGUUGUCUUCUGUGGCGAAGCCAGACCGUGAGGACUGGUGGAACGUAGACAAGCGAGAAUGCCGGUGUGAGUAACGAAAAGUAAGGUGAGAAUCCUUACCGUCUAAAGUCUAAGGUUUCCAGAGGAAGGCUCGUCCGCUCUGGGUUAGUCGGGACCUAAGGUGAGGCUGAAAAGCGUAGCCGAUGGAUAACAGGUUGAUAUUCCUGUACCGCCUAGCAAGCCGAAGGAGUGACGAAGAAGGAUAACGGGAGCUGGCCAGUGGAUACGGUCAGUUCAAGCGUCGAGGCCGCGGCAUAGGAAAAUCCGUGCCGCACAAGGCUGGGGCGUGACGACGAAAGUCCCGCGAUUUCAUGCUUCCAAGAAAAGCUUCUACGAUCACUUGUUAGGGGCCCGUACCGCAAACCGACACAGGUAGACGAGGAGAGAAUCUCAAGACGCGCGAGAGAACUCUUGCCAAGGAACUCGGCAAAAUGGCCCCGUAACUUCGGGAGAAGGGGAGCUCCGCUUCGGCGGAGCCGCAGAGAAUAGGCCAGUGCGACUGUUUAUCAAAAACACAGCUCUAUGCUAAAUCGUGAGAUGAUGUAUAUGGGGUGACGCCUGCCCGGUGCUGGAAGGUCAAGGGGAAGGAUUAGGCUUCGGCCAACGUCCUGAACCGAAGCCCCAGUAAACGGCGGCCGUAACUAUAACGGUCCUAAGGUAGCGAAAUUCCUCGUCGGGUAAGUUCCGACCCGCACGAAAGGCGCAACGAUGCUGGCACUGUCUCGGCAAGAGACUCGGUGAAAUCUUGGUACCUGUAAAGACGCAGGUUGCCCGCGACAGGACGGAAAGACCCCGUGGAGCUUUACUGUAGCUUGACAUUGGUAAUGGGUGUCCAUUGUACAGGAUAGGUGGGAGGCUUUGAAGCCGGGACGCUAGUUUCGGUGGAGCCAUCCUUGGGAUACCACCCUUUGGACAUUCGUUAUCUAACCCGCCGGUUUGUAGCCGGGGGGACAGUGUCUGGUAGGCAGUUUGACUGGGGCGGUCGCCUCCUAAAAAGUAACGGAGGCGCACAAAGGUUCCCUCAGAAUGGUCGGCAAUCAUUCAUAGAGUGUAAAGGCAGAAGGGAGCUUGACUGCGAGACGUACAUGUCGAGCAGGUACGAAAGUAGGUCUUAGUGAACUGGCAGUACUGAAUGGAAAGGCUGUCAAUCAACGGAUAAAAGUUACCCCGGGGAUAACAGGCUAAUUCCUCCCAAGAGUUCACAUCGACGGAGGAGUUUGGCACCUCGAUGUCGGCUCAUCACAUCCUGGAGCUGGAACCAGUUCCAAGGGUUGGGCUGUUCGCCCAUUAAAGUGGUACGCGAGCUGGGUUCAGAACGUCGUGAGACAGUUCGGUCCCUAUCCGUCGUGGGCGUUGGGAAUUUGAGGAGAGCUAACCCUAGUACGAGAGGACCGGGUUGGACACACCGCUGGUGCACCAGUUGGGUUGCCAGACCCAUGGCUGGGUAGCUAUGUGUGGCAGGGAUAAACGCUGAAAGCAUCUAAGCGCGAAGCCCACUCCAAGAUGAGAUUCCCCAUCGCAAGAGUAAGAUCCCUUGUAGACUACGAGGUUGAUAGGCCAGAGGUGGAAGCGCGGUGACGUGUGAAGCUGACUGGUACUAAUCGAUCGAGGACUUAACUUU
rnacentral:rRNA from 1 species